rnacentral:rRNA from 1 species
UACGUAGGGACCGAGCGUUGUCCGGAAUCAUUGGGCGUAAAGAGCGUGUAGGCGGCUGACCAAGUCCUGCGUGAAAUCUUGCGGCUCAACCGCAAGCGGUCGUGGGAAACUGGUCGGCUAGAGUGCGGGAGAGGAGAGUGGAAUUCCUGGUGUAGCGGUGAAAUGCGCAGAUAUCAGGAAGAACACCCGUGGCGAAGGCGGUUCUCUGGGACGGUACUGACGCUGAGACGCGAAAGCGUGGGGAGCGAACAGG